rnacentral:rRNA from 1 species
GACGAACGCUGGCGGCGUGCCUAAUACAUGCAAGUCGAGCGGUCCCUUCGGGGACAGCGGCGGACGGGUGAGUAACACGUAGGCAACCUGCCUGUAAGACCGGGAUAACUAUCGGAAACGAUAGCUAAGACCGGAUAAUUGGAUCUUUCGCAUGAGAGAUUCAUGAAACGCGGAGCAAUCUGUGGCUUAUAGAUGGGCCUGCGGCGCAUUAGCUAGUAGGUGAGGUAACGGCUCACCUAGGCGACGAUGCGUAGCCGACCUGAGAGGGUGAUCGGCCACACUGGGACUGAGACACGGCCCAGACUCCUACGGGAGGCUG